AUUGAACGCUGGCGGCAUGCCUUACACAUGCAAGUCGAACGGCAGCACGGGAGCAAUCCUGGUGGCGAGUGGCGAACGGGUGAGUAAUACAUCGGAACGUGCCCAGUAGUGGGGAUAACCCGGCGAAAGCCGGACUAAUACCGCAUACGACCUACGGGUGAAAGCAGGGGAUCGCAAGACCUUGCGCUAUCGGAGCGGCCGAUGUCAGAUUAGCUUGUUGGCGGGGUAAAAGACCCACCAAGGCGACGAUCUGUAGCUGGUCUGAGAGGACGACCAGCCACACUGGGACUGAGACACGGCCCACGACUCCUACGGGAGGCAGCAGUGGGGAAGUUUGGUACAAUGGCGCAAGCCUGAUCAGCCAUUCCGCGUGCAGGAUGAAGGCCCUCGGG
rnacentral:rRNA from 1 species